UACGUAGGGUGCGAGCGUUAAUCGGAAUUACUGGGCGUAAAGUGUGCGCAGGCGGCCGCGCAAGUCGAGUGUGAAAGCCCCGGGCUUAACUUGGGAAUUGCGCUCGAAACUACGUGGCUGGAGUGUGGCAGAGGAAGGUGGAAUCCAGGUGUAGCGGUGAAAUUGCGUAGAGGAUCUGGAAGGACACCGGAUGGCGAAGCAGGCCAUUC
rnacentral:rRNA from 1 species